rnacentral:misc_RNA from 1 species
AGUUAAAUAGUACGUGAAAUUGUUGAAAGGGAAACGAUUGAAGUCAGUCAUGCUAGUGAAAAAUCAGUUUGACGGGUUUUGAGUUCUUGAGUAGAGGCAGGGUCAAACCGUUUCUCUUUUGGACUUGAGAUUUGUUAGAUGUACUUUUUCUUUGGCAGGUCAACGUCGGUUUCGGGGGUUGUAAAAUACUUGGGGGAAAGUAGCUCUGCUUCGGGAGAGUGUUAUAGACCCUGGGAGAUGCAGCCUGUGGGAUCGAGGAUUGCAGCAAAUGCCUUUUGGCUUGUCGCCUGUUCCUGGGUGUUACCUGUCUUGUGACAACAUUCUUGCCACCGGGGAGUACUAAUGCCUACUGUUUAGAGCGAUCGAAAAUUUUGCUAAGGAUGUUGACGUAAUGGCUUUAAA